GCGGAAGUAGUUCAGUGGUAGAACAUCACCUUGCCAAGGUGAGGGUCGCGGGUUCGAGUCCCGUCUUCCGCU
rnacentral:tRNA from 5 species